UACGUAGGGUGCGAGCGUUAAUCGGAAUUACUGGGCGUAAAGCGUGCGCAGGCGGCCUUGCAAGACAGAUGUGAAAUCCCCGGGCUCAACCUGGGAACUGCAUUUGUGACUGCAAGGCUAGAGUACGGCAGAGGGGGAUGGAAUUCCGCGUGUAGCAGUGAAAUGCGUAGAUAUGCGGAGGAACACCAAUGGCGAAGGCAAUCCCCUGGGCCUGUACUGACGCUCAGGUGCGAAAGCGUGGGGAGCAAACAGG
rnacentral:rRNA from 1 species